GAGUGAGCGCCGAAUCCAGCAGAGGGGCUGGACCGCUCCCGCGGAAAAAAAGAUUCUCCCGGCUGCCAUCUCCCCGUCCGGGUCCAGACAGUCUUGUAAGUGCGAUCACCCUUCAGGCCGGCUAUAAUCCAGGCAGGAUCCUAGGAUCCAGUAAUCCCUCCUUGCGCUGGUCUCGGGGUUCUUCUGCGCUGCGUAUCUGGGAGCUAGUCCAGCCUCCCAGGCAGGCACUAUCGCUCAAAACCCAAGACUGCCCGCGAACCUCACACAGCAGGUCCGAUCUCCUGUAACACUUGCUCCACACUCGCCACACCAAACCAAGUAAGCGGAGCGGUUAGGGACAGAGCAUGGUUGGAGCGUUGCAUUGCUGGCGUGAUCGAAUUACUCACACGGCCUCUUCUGUUUAGGUCAUUAGCUCCUAAUCAUCUGCCGCGGGCGGCUCACCCUUCCUUAGUUAUUCCCCGCUCUCCGUUUCUGCUCCUUCAGAAGCUCGCAAAAGCAGAGCUGGAGGGAGGGUGGGGGCGCACCCAGGCAGGAGAGAGUGGGCUGGACUUGGCAGUUUUCCUUAGCGCACUGCUGGUUUAAAACAGCCUCCUGGCCUGGUAGAAGCUGGAGGCCUAAGCCUGAGUGAAUCUUCCUAAGGGGCACAAGUAGUAUCUAGGCAGCCUUCCAGGGAGGUCUCAGCUGGCAGGAAACCCGCAGACCCUCAGCCUGAUGAACUUUCCAGAGGCACUUCAAGAAGUGAGGUUCUUAGACGUCCCCGGAGCAGGUUCAGCCAUUCCCACCUCAUUUCGGAAGAAAGCUGACAAAGUCUGGUACUUGAGCUUCAGUCAAAAUCCCCCAUCAUCACCCUGGCCCAACUCUUGGACUGUGAUCCAGGCAGGAAGAAUCCAUUUCCUAAUACUACCUUAUUUAGC